UUUUGAUUAUGCGGCAUAUGAUGAACUGAAGUAUGUGGAGAGGAUUGUGACAUUCCGCUUUGUUGCUUCAAAACUAAAUAGAAAAAUAACUGUUAAUCAAAUAUAAGAGGCUUACACGCUUGUUCUGCGACCACUCUAUAUUGAUAAUAACCAGCGUAUUCGCCUCCAUAAAGAAAAUCAAAUUUUGGAUUGCCGUGCUGCUUUUGUUUGGUGAUCAUUUCAAAUUCGGGCCCAUUUCGUGCAACAAAUUCUGCCAAUUUGUCGAUUAUGUUGCGAAGACUGGAAUCUGUAUAAACAAAAUUUUCGUGUAAUAAAACUUGCAUAUUCCAAUA